CCUACGGUGAGCAGCAGUCGAGAAUCAUUCACAAUGGGGGAAACCCUGAUGGUGCGACGCCGCGUGGGGGAAUGAAGGUCUUCGGAUUGUAAACCCCUGUCAUGUGGGAGCAAAUUAAAAAGAUAGUACCACAAGAGGAAGAGACGGCUAACUCUGUGCCAGCAGCCGCGGUAAUACAGAGGUCUCAAGCGUUGUUCGGAAUCACUGGGCGUAAAGCGUGCGUAGGCUGUUUCGUAAGUCGUGUGUGAAAGGCGCGGGCUCAACCCGCGGACGGCACAUGAUACUGCGAGACUAGAGUAAUGGAAGGGGAACCGGAAUUCUCGGUGUAGCAGUGAAAUGCGUAGAUAUCGAGAGGAACACUCGUGACGAAGGCGGGUUCCUGGACAUUAACUGACGCUGAGGCACGAAGGCCAGGGGAGCGAAAGGGAUUAGAUACCCUAGUAGUC
rnacentral:rRNA from 1 species